rnacentral:rRNA from 1 species
GGACGAACGCUGGCGGCGUGCCUAAUACAUGCAAGUUGAGCGCUGAAGGUUGGUACUUGUACCAACUGGAUGAGCAGCGAACGGGUGAGUAACGCGUGGGGAAUCUGCCUUUGAGCGGGGGACAACAUUUGGAAACGAAUGCUAAUACCGCAUAAAAACUUUAAACACAAGUUUUAAGUUUGAAAGAUGCAAUUGCAUCACUCAAAGAUGAUCCCGCGUUGUAUUAGCUAGUUGGUGAGGUAAAGGCUCACCAAGGCGAUGAUACAUAGCCGACCUGAGAGGGUGAUCGGCCACAUUGGGACUGAGACACGGCCCAAACUCCUACGGGAGGCAGCAGUAGGGAAUCUUCGGCAAUGGACGAAAGUCUGACCGAGCAACGCCGCGUGAGUGAAGAAGGUUUUCGGAUCGUAAAACUCUGUUGGUAGAGAAGAACGUUGGUGAGAGUGGAAAGCUCAUCAAGUGACGGUAACUACCCAGAAAGGGACGGCUAACUACGUG